rnacentral:rRNA from 1 species
UACGGAGGGUGCAAGCGUUAUCCGGAUUCACUGGGUUUAAAGGGUGCGUAGGAGGACUGGUAAGUCAGUGGUGAAAUCCCCGAGCUUAACUUGGGAACUGCCGUUGAUACUAUCAGUCUUGAAUACCGUGGAGGUGAGCGGAAUAUGUCAUGUAGCGGUGAAAUGCUUAGAUAUGACAUAGAACACCAAUUGCGAAGGCAGCUCGCUACACGAACAUUGACUCUGAGGCACGAAAGCGUGGGGAUCAAACAGG